rnacentral:rRNA from 2 species
UGGGGAAUAUUGGACAAUGGGCGCAAGCCUGAUCCAGCCAUGCCGCGUGAGUGAUGAAGGCCUUAGGGUUGUAAAGCUCUUUCAGUGGGGAAGAUAAUGACGGUACCCACAGAAGAAGCCCCGGCUAACUUCGUGCCAGCAGCCGCGGUAAUACGAAGGGGGCUAGCGUUGUUCGGAUUUACUGGGCGUAAAGCGCACGUAGGCGGUUUGUUAAGUCAGAGGUGAAAUCCCGGAGCUCAACUCCGGAACUGCCUUUGAUACUGGCAAGCUAGAGUCCGGAAGAGGUAAGUGGAACUCCUAGUGUAGAGGUGGAAUUCGUAGAUAUUAGGAAGAACACCAGUGGCGAAGGCGGCUUACUGGUCCGGUACUGACGCUGAGGUGCGAAAGCGUGGGGAGCAAACAGG